UACGAAGGGGGCUAGCGUUGUUCGGAAUUACUGGGCGUAAAGGGCGCGUAGGCGGUACUUCAAGUCAGGCGUGAAAGCCCCGGGCUCAACCUGGGAACCGCGCUUGAGACUGGAGAACUAGAGUUCGGGAGAGGAUGGUGGAAUUCCCAGUGUAGAGGUGAAAUUCGUAGAUAUUAGGAAGAACACCAGUGGCGAAGGCGGCUCACUGGCCCGGUACUGACGCUGAGGCGCGAAAGCGUGGGGAGCAAACAGG
rnacentral:rRNA from 1 species